UUCCGGUUGAUCCUGCCGGACCUGACUGCUAUCGGAUUGAUACUAAGCCAUGCGAGUUUUUGCAGUAAUGCAAAGCAUACGGCUCAGUAACACGUAGUCAACUUACCCUAUGGACGAGGAUAAUCUCGGGAAACUGAGCAUAAUACUCGAUAGAUCAUAAUGCCUGGAAUGGUUUAUGGUUGAAAUGAUUCGUCGCCGUAGGAUGGGACUGCGGCCUAUCAGCUUGUUGGUGAGGUAAUGGCCCACCAAGGCGAUUACAGGUACGGGCUCUGAGAGGAGAAGCCCGGAGAUGGGUACUGAGACAAGGACCCAGGCCCUAUGGGGCGCAGCAGGCGAGAAAACUUUGCAAUGUGCGAAAGCACGACAAGGUUAAUCCGAGUGAUUUCUGCUAAAGAAAUCUUUUGCAAGUCAUAAAACCACUAGUGAAUAAGGGGUGGGCAAGUUCUGGUGUCAGCCGCCGCGGUAAAACCAGCACCUCAAGUGGUCAGGAGGAUUAUUGGGCCUAAAGCAUCCGUAGCCGGCUCUGUAAGUUUUCGGUUAAAUCCAUGUGCUCAACGCAUGGGCUGCCGAAAAUACUGCAUAGCUAGGGAGUGGGAGAGGUAGACGGUACUCGGUAGGAAGGGGUAAAAUCCUUUGAUCUAUCGAUGACCACCUGUGGCGAAGGCGGUCUACCAGAACACGUUCGACGGUGAGGGAUGAAAGCUGGGGGAGCAAACCGGAUUAGAUACCCGGGUAGUCCCAGCUGUAAACGAUGCAGACUCGAUGAUGCAUUGGCAUAUAGCCAGUGCAGUGUCGCAGGGAAGCCGUUAAGUCUGCCGCCUGGGAAGUACGUACGCAAGUAUGAAACUUAAAGGAAUUGGCGGGGGAGCACCACAAGGGGUGAAGCCUGCGGUUCAAUUGGAGUCAACGCCGGGAA
rnacentral:rRNA from 1 species